AACGAACGCUGGCGGCAUGCCUAACACAUGCAAGUCGAACGAGACCUUCGGGUCUAGUGGCGCACGGGGGCGUAACGCGUGGGAACCUGCCCUUAGGUUCGGAAUAACUCCCCGAAAGGGGUGCUAAUACCGGAUAAUGUCUUCGGACCAAAGAUUUAUCGCCUUUGGAUGGGCACGCGUUGGUUUAGCUGGUUGGUAGGGUAAAAGCCUACCAAGGCGACGAUCCAUAGCUGGGCUGAGAGGAUGGUCAGCCACACUGGGACUGAGACACGGCCCAGACUCCUACGGGAGGCAGCAGUGGGGAAUAUUGGACAAUGGGCGAAAGCCUGAUCCAGCAAUGCCGCGUGAGUGAUGAAGUCCUUAGGGUUGUAAAGCUCUUUUAUCCGGGAUGAUAAUGACAGUACCGGGAGAAUAAGCACCGGCUAACUCCGUG
rnacentral:rRNA from 1 species